CUAUGCGCCCUCUCCCUCUCCCCUGUCCCUUGGUUUCUCCCUCUCAACCACGACCUCACCGGCUAGAUCCGACGCUCUCCCACGCUCUCGCUUAUAGGCCCGGAUUCCCCUCGGUCAUCUCCUCUGAUCGCUGCUGCCACCUCACCAGCUAGAACCGGCGAUCUCCCACGCCCGUCGCUCAUAGGCCCGGAUUCCCUUUCGCCCUCUCCUCUGAUUUUCCAUCGGGGCGACGUUCUCCACACCUUUGCAUGCGCCCCGCAGCAACCCUAGUGACAUGUGGUCACCGGGGCGGCUCCAUCGCCUCUGGUUUGUAUCGCGCUGCUGCUGGAUCGCGGAUGACGGUGCUGUCCCGCGUUGGCUGUGUUGACGGUUAAUCUGUACUACAGUUUGGAUAAAAAACACAGUGCUUUAUAGGCCCGUAAGGCAUAAUGCAACCCAAAGGUAUGAUUUUAGCUGCUGAUGCUUUUCCCCUUCUGUUUUCAAGCUAAAACAUCUCUGUUCUGGAGGAUCUGGAGGAGCUCCAGGCUGUAUUGACAUUGGCUUCGGAACGAAAUUUCCGAGCUCUGCAAACCACUUCCACACUGAAGUUGUACUACUCCAUGACGGGGAGAUUUGUGUCAGCUGUAUCUAAUUAUUUGUCCACGUGUAUCUCAUUAUGUGAUUUUCCCCUUGCGGUUUUUGUGCCCGUAAGAUGUCAGCUAACAGUUUGUCAGUCUCUGAAUACUUGCAGUAACCAUGAUUUUGGUUUGGUAUGAAAUUAUCCUACACGUGUGGUUUCAAACUGUUGACAAUAGAUGCACAGAUAGAUUCAUGGGCGGAUGGAUAUGUACAGCUUACGACUACACUGGAGAAAGUGGAGCAACUCAUUUGCUUCCUUGAUACACCCUUGACCAUCCCCUGGUUCAGAAGGCCACUAACACAUGACAAAUGGUACACAAUUAGGGAGCUGAGUGGUGAUAAGGAUCAAAUUCUCUUGAUUAUAUGAUAUGCCACAUUGGCAGUAAAGGCGCAUGGGGACAGGAGCCUACUCGAUGGGCUGAAAAAAGCGGAGGUUCGGUUGCGGCUCCCAGAUGCACAGCAGCAGUGCGGCCACUCCCAUAUGCACAAGAGUGGCAUGACGACUGCGAGAUGUACAGAUGUGGCACAGCCACUCUAGAGUGAUGGUUUGUAGUGCAACACCAUCAGUUAGUCAUCUGCCUCAUCCCGUACGAUAAUCCAGUAC